rnacentral:rRNA from 1 species
GCUUGCUCCUUGGGUGGCGAGUGGCGGACGGGUGAGGAAUACAUCGGAAUCUGCCUAUUUGUGGGGGAUAACGUAGGGAAACUUACGCUAAUACCGCAUACGACCUACGGGUGAAAGCCGGGGACCUUCGGGCCUGGCGCAGAUAGAUGAGCCGAUGUCGGAUUAGCUAGUUGGCGGGGUAAAGGCCCACCAAGGCGACGAUCCGUAGCUGGUCUGAGAGGAUGAUCAGCCACACUGGAACUGAGACACGGUCCAGACUCCUGCGGGAGGCAGCAGUGGGGAAUAUUGGACAAUGGGCGCAAGCCUGAUCCAGCCAUGCCGCGUGGGUGAAGAAGGCCUUCGGGUUGUAAAGCCCUUUUGUUGGGAAAGAAAAGCAGUCGGUUAAUACCCGAUUGUUCUGACGGUACCCAAAGAAUAAGCACCGGCUAACUUCGUGCCAGCAGCCGCGGUAAUACGAAGGGUGCAAGCGUUACUCGGAAUUACUGGGCGUAAAGCGUGCGUAGGUGGUUUGUUAAGUCUGAUGUGAAAGCCCUGGGCUCAACCUGGGAAUUGCAUUGGAUACUGGCAGGCUAGAGUGCGGUAGAGGGUAGUGGAAUUCCCGGU